rfam:Felis catus isolate Cinnamon breed Abyssinian chromosome A1, whole genome shotgun sequence.
GCCUGGGUGGCUCAGUCGGUUGAGCAUCUGACUUCGGCUCAGAUGAUGAUCUCACGGCUCAUGAGUUCGAGCCCCAAGUCAGGCU